UACAGAGGUCUCAAGCGUUGUUCGGAUUCAUUGGGCGUAAAGGGUGUGUAGGUGGCGCCGUAAGUCAGGUGUGAAAUCUCGGGGCUUAACUCCGAAACUGCAUUUGAUACUGCGGUGCUUGAGGACUGGAGAGGAGACUGGAAUUUACGGUGUAGCAGUGAAAUGCGUAGAUAUCGUAAGGAAGACCAGUGGCGAAGGCGAGUCUCUGGACAGCAACUGACGCUGAGGCACGAAGGCCAGGGGAGCAAACGGG
rnacentral:rRNA from 1 species